rnacentral:tRNA from 1 species
AACAAGCCGGGAUAGCUCAGUUGGUAGAGCAGAGGACUGAAAAUCCUCGUGU